CCUACGGGAGGCAGCAGUGGGGAAUAUUGGACAAUGGGGGCNACCCUGAUCCAGCAAUGCCGCGUGUGUGAAGAAGGCCUUCGGGUUGUAAAGCACUUUUAUCCGGAACGAAACGUGCGGGGUGAAUACCCUCGUAAACUGACGGUACCGGAGGAAUAAGCACCGGCUAACUUCGUGCCAGCAGCCGCGGUAAUACGAAGGGUGCAAGCGUUACUCGGAAUUNCUGGGCGUAAAGGGUGCGUAGGUGGUUUUUUAAGUCUGCUGUGAAAUCCCCGGGCUCAACCUGGGAAUGGCAGUGGAUCCUGGAAAGCUGGAGUGCGGUAGAGGGUAGUGGAAUUCCCGGUGUAGCAGUGAAAUGCGUAGAGAUCGGGAGGAACACCAGUGGCGAAGGCGGCUACCUGGACCAGCACUGACACUGAGGCACGAAAGCGUGGGGAGCAAACAGGAUUAGAUACCCUGGUAGUCCACGCCCU
rnacentral:rRNA from 1 species